rnacentral:piRNA from 1 species
UCCNCUGUUCAGGUAAGGAUGUUGAGACCC